rnacentral:snoRNA from 1 species
AUAUGGGAGUGAUGAAGAACAAUUUUUAUUUGGACUAGAGUUUCUGAUACUGCUACUUUGUGGUAGUUGAAGACUAAACCCUUGGCUGUCUGAACUUCCAU